GACAGAGGGUGCAAACGUUUGUUCGGAAUUACUGGGCGUAAAGCGCGUGUAGGCGGCUAAGUAAGUCGGGCGUGAAACCCACGGCUCAACCGUGGAAGUGCACUCGAAACUGCAUAGCUAGAGUCCUGGAGAGGAAGGUGGAAUGCUUGGUGUAGAGGUGAAAUUCGUAGAUAUCAAGCGGAACACCGGUGGCGAAGGCGGCCUUCUGGACAGUGACUGA
rnacentral:rRNA from 1 species